UUCUUCCCGGUGAGGCCCGAUGGUCGGCCCAAGGCUUCUUCCCGGUGGGGCCUGAUAGUCGGCCCAGCCCGUUCUGGCGCAGGCGAGUGUUUAUAGUGGCGCCAUCUUGUGCUGGCUCAUGCUGCCCCCCCGGAACUCAUCUUUGAGCCUCUCUUUGGAGAGGUUAUCUAGAGCCCGGGUUGAUGGGUGGUCUUCAGGCCAGCAUGUGGGUAGUCUUAGGCCACUCGGCGGUGACUGAAAAACCUCAGCUGUGCGGCGGCCAGGAUUCGAACCCGCGUCCCUCCUGGACCUCCUGAGCGCGGGGCCGUCACGCUAACUAUUCAGCCACCACCUGCGGAAUACUAGCAACAGAGACGUAUGCACCCAACCGUGUUUCACGCUGCUGAGGUCGAGAGGCUUGAUUCUCGUCCCAAGGUACGGUGAGACCCUGAGGAGCUGGAGUUGAUGGCCAGCUUUGAGAAGUCCCACCCAGGUCAUCCUGCCAUGAAUCAAGCUAUCCUGAGGGAGGUGCUGCUCCACCGUACCCUGGACGCCAUCAAGGGCUAGAGGAUGCACCCCGACUACCAAGCUAUGGUCCAGGCUGUUGUGGAGCAGUCCGAGUCGGCGCCAAGAGUGCCUCCUCUUCCGCACCCCCUGGAUGUGUGCCGGCGUCCUGGAGACCGGCCCAACCUUGACCUCAGCCCAGGGAGCACUCCACCACCAUCAACGGAGGACCCUGGCGCCGGAUGCUCAACCGGUCGUAUCUCAACAUUUGGUCCUAAAUCCGCCAUUGUGGUUGCAAGUUCUGCCCUGUGCGAUGUUCAAAAAACGUCCUAGGCGCCAUCUUGUGACGUCAGGUCGCCCCUCAGCCUGACUGCUCGGAUGCGGGUCUAGGGCCCGCUUUUUUAAACGUUCGAGUUAGCAAACAGCAACCGCAAAGCCCACGUCGCAUCCUGUCUUACUAACAUCGCGAACGCGUUUUUUAAACACCGAAAAGGAGACCCUACGUGGUGCUAGGCCAAGCAGACACCAACCCCACUUUCCGCACAGGUUGGCAGCUCUGAAGCGUCUCGUGUGACCAGCCAACCAAUCAGCUGAUCGGUGUUUACAUUCCUCCUACGGUCCUACCAGAGCAGCAGAUCAGUCUGGAGUUGCAGCCCACAAGAGAAACACCGACAUGGCGACACCAGGCAAAGGAGCACCACUCAGCCAAGGGCAAAAGAAAUUCCUGCUGGAGCUGGUGUCGGAGAAGCCUGUCCUGCAGGACAAGUCUCAUGGGAUGGCGGUCACCCUUGAGAAGGUCAAGGCGUAGCAAGAGAUUGCUGCAGCCUUCAGCCUGAAUUACCCGGCCGAUCCCAAGUCGGAGAAACAACUUAAACGAGCAUGGGAAUACACGAAGAUGAGGGCAAAGAAGAACCACAGCCACCGUGUGCAGCACAUGUUUGCAACUGGUGGAGGGAAACCCAUGCCUUCACCACUUAAAGAAGACCAGCUGAUCAUGUCAACCCUCUCGCGGGAGCUGGAACCUGCGACCCAGCAGUGUGACACCCUGGAUCCAAACAUUGUGGUCGUGGAUGCCUCUGAAGUUGAGCAAUGGCAGCCAGAGGUUCCUUCGUUUGUGAAAACCAUUCUACGUAUUGUGGAAUAUGCUCAUCAACAAGACGCCUCGGAACAUGACUUCUUUCUCUGAAUCGUGGUUUAGUUUAUUCCUAAGGAAUAUGACUUAAGCACUUAUAGUCCAGCCAAAUUGUCGAGUCCGUUUGGGCUCUGCCACACAGUCCCAACACCUAUCUCUUCCUCUCAUAUGUAAGGUAAAGGUAACAUAUGAUAGGAAAAAAUAGGUGUUGGGACUGUGUGGCAGAGCAGAGGGGAGAAAUGGACCCGCGGGAGCCUAUGCCCAAACGGACUUGACAAUUUGGUUGGACUAUAAUUAGAAUUAAUUAAUAUCUUGCUACUUUUCAUAUGAUUCUAUGUGACUCAUACAUUUUAUCAAUAGAGUAAUAUCAUGAUAGUUACCACAGUCCAGUUUCGAGUGUAACCUUCUUUCACUGCUUUUCUAAAUUAUAGUUAAUAUUAUUACUGUACAUCAGUGAUCUUUAUCUGACUUCCGCAUGCACAUCAAAUAUGGUCAAAUAACUAUGUUUUGUUGGUAUUGCCUGAGUUGGAUUGUUGCUUAUCACAGCUUUGACCUAAACUCUGCACCCUUUCAUGUUUAGUUUAGUUCACAUCAAUAGCGGUGUGGCUGAUCCACUAUACAUUGAGGACCUUCUCUUUCCCGUCAGGUGCUGUGGGGGUUAAGAGAGUGGUGUGCUUAGUCUUGUAGGGGGAUUGCCAAGUUAUGUAGGUAUUGAUAUCAAUCUCCAUUCCAGAAUUCAUUGGGGAAAGUGACGAGCCUGUAACUCAGGAGCCCGAUAACACUUCCGUGCCCGAGAGAUUGCAGACAUCUGGAGCUGCAGCAGCUGUCCGCUACGCCCGUCGCAAGCAUCCUCCGAAAAGGCGCCAGGCUGUCAGUGAAAAGGAGGCAGCCUAUGCAAAAAUUAGUGAAACCUGUGACAGCUUAAAAGAGGAGUCACUAAAAGCUAUACGGAUAGUUUGCCAGGCUGCGGAAAGU